rnacentral:rRNA from 1 species
UACGGAGGGUGCGAGCGUUGUCCGGAAUCAUUGGGCGUAAAGGGCGCGUAGGUGGCGGCUUAAGCGUGCGGUGAAAGCUCGGGGCUCAACCCCGAGUCGGCCGUGCGAACUGUGUCGCUUGAGCACUGUAGAGGCAGGCGGAAUUCCGGGUGUAGCGGUGGAAUGCGUAGAGAUCCGGAAGAACACCGGUGGCGAAGGCGGCCUGCUGGGCAGUAGCUGACACUGAGGCGCGACAGCGUGGGGAGCAAACAGG